rnacentral:lncRNA from 1 species
AAUGAUUCAUUUAUGCAAUUUAAUAUGUUAUAGUAGGACCGACCGUCCCUAGAGCAAGUGGCAAAAUGCUUGGUGGUUGGUACCCGAGACCUAAGUUCGAAUCCUAGUUGAUUCACAUUUCCAGCUAAGUUUAUUUCUAAAUGAAAUAAACGAAGCAGGUAGCGUGCUACCAAUCUCUCUAAAAAAAAAAAUGUUAUAGUAGGGGUGGAUUUGAGCCUCUGGUGGACGGCGAUCCCGUUGACCGUCUACGGCAGAAUUAUUUUGUGCAUAUUCUCCGUCUUUGUGACGACAGAGAAAUUAAUCUUUUGUAAAAUUUGUAUGCAAAAUUGCAGAAAAAGAAAGACAUCUGUUAAAGAUUUUUUUUCAUGACAAAUCCUAUGUAUUCUCAUUUUUUUCGACAUGAAUUAAAAAAAA